rnacentral:misc_RNA from 1 species
UGUGGGAGCGGGCUUGCCCGCGAUUGCGAUGUAUCAGUAUCAGAAGUUUUGACUGACACACUGCAAUCGCGGGCAAGCCCGCUCCCACA